UCUGACGGCGAUGGCGAGAAGGCCACACCCUUUCCCAUGCCGAACACGGAAGUUUAGCUUCUCAGCGCCGAUGGUAGUUGGGGGUUUCCCCCUGUGGGAGUAGGACAUUGCCAGGC
rnacentral:rRNA from 1 species